rnacentral:rRNA from 1 species
AACCGGUGGAAACGCCGACUAAUCCCCGAUGGGAUAUUGUGCCGCAUGGCACGAUAUUGAAAGUUACGGCGGCGACGGAUUGGCUCGCGUCCGAUUAGCUUGUUGGCGGGGUAACGGCCCACCAAGGCUACGAUCGGUAGGGGUUCUGAGAGGAAGGCCCCCCACAAUGGGACUGAGACACGGCCCAUACUCCUACGGGAGGCAGCAGUGAGGAAUAUUGGUCAAUGGGCGGAAGCCUGAACCAGCCAUGCCGCGUGCGGGAAGGAGGCCCUAUGGGCUGUGAACUGCUUUUGCCUGGGGG